UAGGUCUCUAGACGUUACAGAGAACCCCGAACAACCCAAUCUGCUAAUCUCCGAUACCGCUUUGUACUUACGAUCUUGAAUCCACUGACAGUCUUGUUAGAUUAAUCCAAUAAAUUUCAUUCACUCCGCAUACUCAAUCCUAUAGACACCUUUUUAAUCCUUCAAUCACAGACGUAACUCGAUUUCACAAAACAGUCAGAGUAAUCAAACCCACUUCAUUAAAAAUCCCGAUUCACCAUUACAACACUGACUUCAGCAACGAUUGCCUCAGUCUUUCCAAAA
rnacentral:lncRNA from 1 species